GAGUUGUCAAUCAAUCAGCGACUCACCCGGUGAUUAUCCCGCCUUCUGCAGAGAGCACGUAAGCUCGGAAGCGUAGCAUUGUGGGAAGGGGGUCGCCACCUUGCGAAGAGAGAACCUGAGCUGCACCACUUUUUGCCAGAUUAACCACGAGACUUAAAAAAAUCAUGACCAUUUGUGAAACAAAGUGGGUGGUGUCUUCCUGUUCUUUUUGCCUGCUAUUCAUCUGAAAACUAAUAUCAGUUCAAGAUACUUAUACAGUUCUCCUUUAAAUACCACACUUGGAUCAACUUCUACUACUUCCUCAUCAAUAUAUUCCACUGUAUAUCAAUUCAUUGCUUUAGAACAUUUUUCUUCAUAUAAUUCUUAUUGUUUUGCCUCAUCUUUAUUUUGUGGAAAUCAAAAACCUCCAGAUGAUGAGAAACUGAAAUAACAACUCAAAAAUCCAGGAAACACUCCAUGAGCAUCCAUGGAAAGAGAAACAGAGUUAAUGUUUCAGGUCAAAGACUCUUUUUCCAAACUCCUUUAUUGAGGAUAUAUUGAACAAGCCAUGUUUGCAUCAGACCAGACUAUACUUCUGAGCUAUGCUAUGCAAAGAGAUUGCAUAGCAGGGUGGACAGAGAAAAAGAUUCAAGUAUAUGCCUAAAGCUUUUGUGAAGAAAUGCAAUAUCCUCACUGACUCGUGGGUCUACCUGGCCCACGAUCACCCAAAGUGAACGAGUGUUUAUGAUAACACAGAGAACUUUGUGCCUUUCAUUAGGAAGAACUCACCACCUGAUAAAAUACCAACCCACUGGAUCUGUGGAAGUGCUUGGAGAUCCCUUUGGUCUCCCAACCUCAAGACUCACUGAACCAACUGGUAGUAAGUCAUCCUAAAUCCUGAGACACUGCCUAAAAAUUUAAAAAGUUACUGUAGCAAUGGAAAUACUUUGUUGCUCUUCUUUUCUUCCUAUUAUAAACAAAGUAACUCAUUAGUCCUGGAUUAAUGGGAUUCAGUGCCCCUCUCCAUUUAGUGAAUGCUGGGCUUUCAAGGAAGAUUACUCCCAAAUAAAAAGAGUGUUUUAUAAAAUUUCCCUUGGGAUGUAGGCAGGAUUACAGUAAAACUGAAAGCAUAAUGCUGAAAUCUGGAACAAA